rnacentral:RNase_P_RNA from 1 species
GGGCAGGUAGAAAGUGGUUGCCCCUACACCGAAUGGUGUGGGGGAGGAAAGUCCGGGCUCCAGAGGGUAGCGUAGUGGGUAAUGCCCAUCCUCCGACUUAUCGUCGGGGCGGAUUAGAGCUACAGAGACGAGUCCCCCCACCACUUUCGAGAUUAACUAUCUUGAUUUGAAAGUGGUGGGGGGGGUGAAACGAGCAAUCUCUACGCGGAGCAAGGCUGAAUAAGAGAUGAGGGAUGAACCCGUCCCGCAAGAAGUCUCGGGUAAGCUGCUUGAGUCCUGAUGGUAACAUCAGAAUCGAGAGGAAUGAUCACAGCGAUGCGGAUAUUCGUGUCUAGACAAAACCCGGCUUAUUCUACCUGCCCCUUU